GACACGACUGAGCGACUGAACUAAACUGAACUGAACAGAGAAGAUCAGCAUGGCCCCUGCCCAAGGAUGACAUACAAAUUCAUGAAGCGUCCCAUAUUUUU
ensembl:snRNA U6 U6 spliceosomal RNA